rnacentral:tRNA from 1 species
UUGGGUAAUAUAAAUAAUAUAUUUUGCUUACACCAAAAAUUUGGCCACUGGCCCCCUAACAUG